UCUCCGUUGGUGAACCAGCGGAGGGAUCAUUACCGAGUUAUACAACUCCCAAACCCACUGUGAACCUUACCUCAGUUGCCUCGGCGGGAACGCCCCGGCCGCCUGCCCCCGCGCCGGCGCCGGACCCAGGCGCCCGCCGCAGGGACCCCAAACUCUCUUGCAUUACGCCCAGCGGGCGGAAUUUCUUCUCUGAGUUGCACAAGCAAAAACAAAUGAAUCAAAACUUUCAACAACGGAUCUCUUGGUUCUGGCAUCGAUGAAGAACGCAGCGAAAUGCGAUAAGUAAUGUGAAUUGCAGAAUUCAGUGAAUCAUCGAAUCUUUGAACGCACAUUGCGCCCGCCAGCAUUCUGGCGGGCAUGCCUGUUCGAGCGUCAUUUCAACCCUCGAGCCCCCCCGGGGGCCUCGGUGUUGGGGGACGGCACACCAGCCGCCCCCGAAAUGCAGUGGCGACCCCGCCGCAGCCUCCCCUGCGUAGUAGCACACACCUCGCACCGGAGCGCGGAGGCGGUCACGCCGUAAAACGCCCAACUUUCUUAGAGUUGACCUCGGAUCAGGUAGGAAUACCCGCUGAAUUAAAGCAUAUA
rnacentral:rRNA from 1 species